rnacentral:rRNA from 1 species
GACGAACGCUGGCGGCGUGCCUAAUACAUGCAAGUUGAACGCUUUGUCUUUCACCGGAGCUUGCUCCACCGAAAGAAAAAGAGUGGCGAACGGGUGAGUAACACGUGGGUAACCUGCCCAUCAGGAGGGGAUAACACUUGGAAACAGGUGCUAAUACCGUAUAACACUAUUUUCCGCAUGGAAGAAAGUUGAAAGGCGCUUUUGCGUCACUGAUGGAUGGACCCGCGGUGCAUUAGCUAGUUGGUGAGGUAACGGCUCACCAAGGCAACGAUGCAUAGCCGACCUGAGAGGGUGAUCGGCCACACUGGGACUGAGACACGGCCCAGACUCCUACGGGAGGUAGCAGUAGGGACUCUUCGGCAAUGGACGAAAGUCUGACCGAGCAACGCCGCGUGAGUGAAGAAGGUUUUCGGAUCGUAAAACUCUGUUGUUAGAGAAGAACAAGGAUGAGAGUAAAACGUUCAUCCCUUGACGGUAUCUAACCAGAAAGCCACGGCUAACUACGUGCCAGCCGCCGCUGUAA